GCGGGUGUAGCUCAAUGGCAGAGCAGCAGCUUUCCAAGCUGAAUGCGAAGGUUCGAUCCCUUCCUCCCGCU
rnacentral:tRNA from 1 species